UUUGCUAGGGACUCGGCGAGUGGUGAUCCACUCGGCGAGUCGGGUCAACUGAAAGUUGACUCCAGCUUUGGCUUAGAGUUAAUCCAGGGGUAAAAUGGUCAUUUUACCUAAAGGACAGUUAGCAGUGUUUGAUUGAGUAUGUCGUGGAAAUUGCAGCCGGAGGACUCCCGGAGCAGCAGCAGUCAGUUAGUUCCCGAUCAGUUCAGCAGCUACUUUGAGGUGAGUUACCUUCCAGUAGCGGUGGGUCUAAGGCCACAAUGCCGACCCACCAGUAGGAGUUGUAUGAUAGAUGAUUGUCUUUGUGAUAUCAUCUAAGUUCGCUAGUACCUGACAUGUUAUAUGCUAGCAUGAUAUGCUGUAUGUGAUAGUAGUAGAGUUUGGUUGUUCGGACCGAAGGGUAGUCAGACACCCCAGAUACGUCUGACAGUAUGUGACGAUAUGUAUGCAUGCUGGCUUGUUAUGUUAUAUGUGAUCGUAGUAGUAGGGGUGAAAUAGUCCCCGAGGAUCGGUUGUUAGGACCGAUGGGUAGUCAGCACCCCAGAAUGGCUUGACACGGGUAAGACGGCACCCCAGAAUGGCCGUAUGGGUAGGUCGGCACCCCAGAAUGGCCGUACCGGGUAGUCAGGCACCCCAGAAUAGCCUGGCAGUAUAUAUGUUAUGUGUUUGUAUGGUAUGCGGUACGUUGGGGGAACUCACUAAGCUUUGUGCUUACGUUUACAGUUUUGUUUUCAGGUACCUCUGCAUCGAAGGGGAAGGAGCCGGCGCGGUAGCGGCACGUCAUACACACACUCUUCGGUUUCCGCAUUUAUGAGAUUUACUGGGAUUGUACUCUGAUAUUUGAUGGGAUGUACGGUUUGGCUUUUGAGAACAUGGUUGCAAUGUGUUAUGGUGUGAACAAACAAUGUUUCUUUUUAUUUAGACAAUGUUUUUAUUUAUUAAUGUUUUCUAAAGUAAUAUCAAAAAAAAAAAAAAAUAAAAUUUGGGUCGUUACAAGUUGGUAUCAGAGCCCUGGUUUGAGGGAUUCGGACACGCCUUCGGGAGUGUUUGGACUCAAACCGAGGGAUUGAAAGAUUUUUCCAAAAGAAAUUAUUCUUUAAAACCCGGAAAAGAGUCACGAGAAAGAGUAAAGUGUGUGACGUGCGCGACCGGCCGAGCUCAAGUAAGUAUUCCCCAUAGUACCCAUACAAGUUUAUGUUAUGUUUAUCAGCUUUAUGAAUAUUGCAUGCUAGAAUAGGCUAAGGAUCUAGGAGUGAUGCCUUAUGUGCCUGUUUAUUUGUUCCAGCUUAUUGAAUAUUGCAUGCUAGAAUUGAGUAGACAGCAGUAGGGUAGCCUGUUUAGGUUAUGCCUGAUAGUAUGAGCUUAGCAUCCUAUGUUAAGUGUCGUUUCUUGUUCUAAGAACAGUUUUGGCUUGAGUCUGUUUUUCCUUAUCCGAAUGCUGCUUGCUUCGUGCUCGGUGGGAUUCUGAGUAAUGGGAGUGAGCCACUAGGUAAACACGUCACACCACAUGUAAUCAGGGUUGAAUAAUCCCAAAGUGUUGGAACUGGCCCUAUUGCGCAGCUCUUGUUUGAGUCCAACCGUUGUAGGGACGGAUCUUUUACUUGAAGGAUUAUCUAAUCCUCAUUACAUGUGAUGGUGUUUAGGUGGUGGCUAACUGGCAUUAUGAGGAGACCUACAGCAGCUGAGGACCAGUUGUGUUGAACUUGAGUUCUCCCUAGGGCAAGCCUAGGGUGAGAAUAUCGGAGAGUAGCAGUAGUAGAGGGGAGUUGGUGGAGUCGAGGAAUUCCUCGGAGAAGGUACGGAUAGAUGUGGAAGGUAGUAUGGGCCCGUACUACUGAAAGCAGAGGAUCCGUACCCGAGCCGAGGAAGGCCAAGACGAGACCAAGGAACCUGUAAGUAGUUGAGAUCCCUCAGAAAGUAGCAGUACCACUAAUGAUUAUUAUUGAUGUUUUGCAGAAUGGUGGUACUUCGACCGAGACCGACAGAUGGCGGGUCAGGAGAGGGGUCAGGUUCGGGAUCUGGCACCGAGCCGAUUGAGGAGAGGCUACGUGAGUUCAUCACGUCGGAGAUCACUAGGGGCAUCCUUGAGUCGACCCCCAUCAUCUUUGGGUCGAUCAAGGAAGGGAUCGUGGAGAUGAUGGAGGAUCGCCUACGGGCAUUCAGGAGCGACUUGGCCUCUAGCCAGUCAGGAUCUCGCACACUGUCCUUCAAGGACUUCAGGAGCAGUGGUGCGCCGGAUUUCCAUGGGGUGAAGGACCCCAUUGUCGCCAGGCGGUGGAUUGCGGAUAUCGAGUCCGCCCAGUUGAUCAGCUUCUGCCCCGAGGGGUCGAAGGUGAGGUACGCAGCAGGGUGUUUACGGGACCGGGCCCGAGAUUGGUGGGAGUCAGUGGGUGACUCGAUGGGAGCCUCGGCUGUCGAGGCAAUGACCUGGUCGGACUUUGUGACUAGGUUCAGGGCAGAGUUUGCGCCAGCGGUCGAGCUUCAGCAGCUGGCCAGGGAGUUCUUAGACAUGAGGCAGACGACAGAGACCGUGGCGGAGAUCACCGCCAAGUUUCGGGAGAGGGCUUUAUUGGUGCCCCAGUAUGCAGGUGACGAGGAUAUGAGGAGGACUCGUUACCACGACAUGCUACGAGCUGACAUUCGGGAGCAUGUUAGCUUUUCGGCUUGCCCUACCCUGGACUCCAUGAUUGCCAGGGCUAGGGAGAGAGAGAUAGAUUUGGAGCACAUCCGGAAACGGAAACUUGAGGAUGGUCAGUCAUCGGGGGCUUCGGGGAAGAAGCCCAAGGGAUCAGAUGGGAGGCCGAAAGGCCAGUCGGGACCGAGCCGCUGCAGGAGGUGCGGCAGGCCGCACGAGGGGGCGUGCAGGAUGGGAUCGUCAGGCUGCUACAAGUGCGGCAAGUUUGGGCAUAUCAGCAGGGAUUGCACUGCUCCUGCGACCGUUAUUCAGACAUCGGAGUUGCUGUGUUUCCACUGCAACCAGAGGGGCCACAAGAAGGCCAAUUGCCCCAUGUUGACAGCUUCAGCGCCAGUGAAGGCGCCAGCUCCAGCGACCCUGCGGAUCACGGAUGGCCGUCAGGGCAAGGCAGAGGCUCCAGUGGUGAGGAGUCGGGCAUUUCAGUUGACUGCCGAGGAGGCACGCGCCGCGCCCGAUGUGGUGACGGGUAUGAUUCCUUCCUUCUAUCUUUUAUUUUACGUUGUUAUGAUAUUGAUAUGUGCUCCGUGUGUAUACAUGUGUAUUAGGAUCGUUCCAUGUGAACGGCAUCCCGGUUCAGGUAUUGUUCGACUCGGGUGCAUCCCGAUCGUUCGUUUCUCUUGCUCUUAGCAAGAGAUUUCAUGAGACUUCAGGCGAGUUAGAUUGCCCGUUAGAGGUAGAGAUUGCCGAUGAUCGAUCGGUGCGAGCAUCGAUGGUGUUUCGAGAUUGUGUCCUGCGACUGUUUGAGGAGUGUUACCUGGUAGACUUGGUUCCCAUUCCAUUGCGUGGGAACAAGGUGAUUAUUGGUAUGGAUUGGUUGAGCCCUAAUGGGGCAGUGAUAGAUUGCGCACAGCAGCUAGUGCGAGUCAAGACCCCAAGCGGGGGAGAGUUAGUGAUUCAUGGAGAGCGGCCGCAGUGUGGACCCACUGUAUGUUCAGCAGCGAGGGCUAGGCGCUACCUUCAGCAGGGAUGCGCGGGUUAUGUCGCGUACGUGAUGGACACCCGGGAGGCGGGUAAGGCGACCGUGAGCGAGGUCCCGGUGGUUCGAGAUUUUGCUGAUGUUUUUCCGGAGGAACUACCUGGGAUACCUCCGGAGCGACAGGUGGAGUUCAGGAUUGACCUCGUUCCCGGUGCGGCUCCGAUAGCCAAAGCACCGUAUCGGUUGGCUCCUCCCGAGAUGCAGGAGUUGUCUACGCAGCUGCAGGAGCUGCUGGACAAGGGAUUUAUUCGGCCGAGCAGUUCGCCCUGGGGAGCCCCGAUUCUGUUUGUGAAGAAGAAGGAUGGGUCGCAUCGGAUGUGUAUAGAUUAUCGGGAGCUGAACAAGGUAACGGUGAAGAACCGUUACCCGCUUCCGAGGAUUGAUGACCUCUUUGACCAGCUUCAGGGCGCAUCUUGGUUCUCCAAGAUUGAUUUGCGUUCGGGUUAUCAUCAGAUGAGGGUCAGGGAGGAGGAUAUGCAGAAGACCGCGUUUCGGACGCGCUAUGGCCAUUACGAGUUUGUGGUGAUGCCGUUUGGGCUCACCAAUGCUCCUGCCGCGUUCAUGGACCUCAUGAACCGUGUAUGCAGACCGAUGCUGGACCGGUCUGUGAUAGUCUUUAUCGAUGAUAUCUUGGUUUAUUCCAAGACCCGGGAGGAACAUGAGGAGCAUUUGAGAGAGGUGUUAGAGACCCUGAGGAGGGAGAGCUUGUAUGCCAAGUUCUCCAAGUGUGAGUUUUGGUUGCGCGAGGUGCAAUUUCUGGGGCACCUCGUCAACCAGAACGGGAUUCUGGUCGAUCCGGCCAAGGUCGAGGCCGUGAUGAGAUGGGAGGUUCCGAAGUCCCCAUCUGAGAUUCGGAGCUUCCUAGGAUUGGCAGGCUACUAUCGGAGAUUUAUCCAGGAUUUCUCCAAGAUAGCCGUGCCCCUGACGCGGCUGACGAAGAAAGCCGUGGUCUUUCGGUGGGGACCCGAGCAGCAGGCUGCAUUUGAGACGCUGAGACAGAGAUUGUGUGAGGCGCCGAUCUUAGCCCUGCCAGAGGGCGUAGAGGAUUUCGUGGUUUAUUGCGAUGCGUCCAUUUCUGGGUUGGGCGCGGUGCUGAUGCAAAGGGGGCAUGUCAUUGCUUACGCUUCGAGGCAGCUCAAGCCUCACGAGGCGAACUACCCGACGCACGAUUUGGAGUUGGGGGCGGUGGUAUUUGCCCUCAAGAUUUGGCGACAUUACCUCUAUGGGGUUCGGUGUACCAUCUACACGGACCACAAGAGCUUGAGGUACCUCAUGGACCAGCCGAAUCUGAACAUGAGGCAGCGUCGGUGGUUGGAUGUGGUGAAGGAUUAUGAUUGCGAGAUCCUUUACCACCCGGGAAAGGCCAAUGUGGUGGCCGAUGCGCUUAGCCGCAAGACGGCGCCGAUCAGGGACGCCUGUUUGAGGAUGACUGUGGUGACUCCCCUGUUGGAGCAGAUUCGGGAAGCUCAACAGGAGGCUAUCAAGGAGGAGCAUCGGAAGAACGAGCGCGUAGUAGGUCAGGUUUCCUCCUUCGAUUAUGAUAGCCGAGGGUUAUUGACACUACACCAUAGGGUGUGGGUGCCGUAUCACGGGGGCGUGCGCCAGAUUUUGAUGGAGGAGGCGCACAAGUCCCGAUUCUCUAUUCAUCCCGGGGCGACGAAGAUGUAUAGGGAUCUUCGUCUAGACUAUUGGUGGCCCUGCAUGAAGCGGGAUGUGGCAUGGUACGUCGAGCGGUGCUUGACCUGCAGGAAGGUCAAGGCCGAACAUCAGAGGCCGCAUGGCAAGAUGCAGCCGUUGGACAUUCCACUGUGGAAGUGGGAAGAUAUCACGAUGGAUUUUAUCACGAAGCUUCCCAGGACCGCGCGUGGAGUGGAUUCGAUUUGGGUCAUCGUGGAUAGAUUGACCAAGAGUGCUCACUUUAUUCCGAUUCCGGAGAGCAUAUCGGCCGAGAAAUUGGCCGACAUCUAUAUCAGGGAGAUUGUGGCACGGCAUGGGGUGCCAGUAUCGGUGAUCUCGGACAGGGAUGUGCGUUUUACUUCCAGGUUUUGGAAGAGAUUCCAUGACGAGUUGGGCACUCGUCUGCAUUUCAGCACCGCCUUUCACCCGCAGACAGAUGGACAGAGUGAGCGGACCAUCCAGACUUUGGAGGACAUGUUGCGGGCGUGUGUUCUGGAUUUCGGUGGUAGCUGGGAUACCUAUCUUCCUUUGGCUGAGUUCUCCUACAACAACAGCUAUCACGCGAGUAUCGACCGCCCUCCCUUCGAGAUGUUGUACGGACGGAGGUGUAGGACCCCGAUAUGCUGGGGUGAGGUUGGCCAGAGAGUUAUGGGAAGCACCGAAGUGGUGCUCAAGACGACUGAGAGGAUACAGCAGGUCCGGAGCAGGCUUCAGACUGCUCAGAGUCGACAGAAAAGUUAUGCCGACAAGCGUCGAUCCGAUUUAGAGUUCCAGGUCGGGGAUAUGGUCCUCCUGAAGGUGUCGCCGUGGAAAGGCGUCAUCCGAUUCAGGAAGCGGGGCAAGUUGGGCCCGCGAUUCAUCGGACCGUUCAGGGUCUUAGCCCGGGUGGGCAAGGUAGCAUAUAGGCUGGAUCUGCCAGCCGAGCUUAGCCAGAUCCACAGCACUUUCCAUGUUUCGCAGUUGCGGAAGUGCCUAGUGGACGAUUCUGCAGUAGUACCUUUGGAGGAUAUUCAGGUUGAUGACAGCCUGAACUACAUCGAGCGCCCAGUCGCAAUCCUCGACAGGAAGUCGAAGGAUUUAAGGAACAAGAGGGUGGAGCUAGUGAAGGUGCAAUGGCAGCACCGCAAGGGUUCAGAGUGGACUUGGGAGCCGGUAGACGAGAUGAUGGAGCACUACCCCGAGCUGUUUCAGGAUCAGGCAGCAGACUUCGAGGACGAAGUCUAAAAUAAGUGGGGGAGAUGUGUAGCACCUGGUUUCCGGUAUGUGAAUUUUAUUUGAGCAUUGCCCUAAUUUAGCCUUAGACUCGGCGAGUCAUAGGGUCCGACUCGCCGAGUAGGGACGAGACUCAGGACGCGUUUUAAGUAGGCGACUCGACGAGUCCAUAUCCUGGACUCGGCGAGUCACCGCUGCGGGAUGAAACCCUAAGUUUCAAGGGUUUGCACCCUAUUUAAACUCUCAUUCCGCCCCAACUCGUCCCCAUUCACCCCCAGAACUCCCCCUACAUCGUUUUCCCUUGUUUUCUUGAGAGUUUGAGGUGUUCUUGGUGUGUUCUUGAAGGUUUUGAAGAGUAAGAGGAGUAGAUCAAGAAGAGGAGAAGGAGAUCAGCCAUCCUUGUGUCAUUUCAACAUUUCCUUUGAGGUAUAACCCGUUUUCCCCUUGAUUCUAUGCUUAAAACUUCAUUUGGGUCCUUCUUGGUCAAUUCCCCAAGUUUGCAUGUUCAUUAUAUGUUGUAAUAAGGCGUUUGGCCUUUGGAUCUAUGUAAGAUUGAGCUCCAGGAGCUCAGAUCUGUUAGCUUUUUGGCCUCAUGAGGCUUGUUAGCCCUAGAUCUACCAUUUUGAGACAUUUUGAGCCUUAUAAUCCAUAUUGGUGAAUAUCCACACGUAAAGUUGGAAACUUUACGUGUGAUUCGUGUCCUAGAAGUCCAGAUCUAUGAAUGGCAUGGUCUGGAACCGAGCAAAUCGGUAUAUUUAAGGAGUGCAUGGCGACGACUCGGCGAGUCGCAUAGGUGACUCGGCGAGUCUGGUCGCGAGUCACCGAAUUGGUCCCUUCUUCAUGUGUCGAGUUGAGCCUUGAGUCACAGGGGGUGACUCGGUGAGUUGGGAGCUGAACUCACCCAUGUUAGGACUCGGCGAGUCAAUGCCCUGACUCGGCGAGUCCAAGGCAAUCUUCAUAGCUCAAGAACAGACUCGGCGAGUUGUUCAUACAACUCGGCGAGUCUUAGCAUAAAGUGUUCAUCGGAUGAAGAUGAACUCGACGAGUUGUUCAUACAACUCGGCGAGUAGGAUGAAGGUGUUGAAUGGCAGUUAGAAGGUGAACUCGUCGAGUCAUAGCCCGACUCGACGAGUAGAACCAGGGACCCAGGACAUUGGUUUGCUAGGGACUCGGCGAGUGGUGAUCCACUCGGCGAGUCGGGUCAACUGAAAGUUGACUCCAGCUUUGGCUUAGAGUUAAUCCAGGGGUAAAAUGGUCAUUUUACCUAAAGGACAGUUAGCAGUGUUUGAUUGAGUAUGUCGUGGAAAUUGCAGCCGGAGGACUCCCGGAGCAGCAGCAGUCAGUUAGUUCCCGAUCAGUUCAGCAGCUACUUUGAGGUGAGUUACCUUCCAGUAGCGGUGGGUCUAAGGCCACAAUGCCGACCCACCAGUAGGAGUUGUAUGAUAGAUGAUUGUCUUUGUGAUAUCAUCUAAGUUCGCUAGUACCUGACAUGUUAUAUGCUAGCAUGAUAUGCUGUAUGUGAUAGUAGUAGAGUUUGGUUGUUCGGACCGAAGGGUAGUCAGGCACCCCAGAUGCGUCUGACAGUAUGUGACGAUAUGUAUGCAUGCUGGCCUGUUCUGUUAUAUGUGAUCGUAGUAGUAGGGGUGAAAUAGUCCCCGAGGAUCGGUUGUUAGGACCGAUGGGUAGUCAGCACCCCAGAAUGGCUUGAAACGGGUAAGACGGCACCCCAGAAUGGCCGUAUGGGUAGGUCAGCACCCCAGAAUGGCUUGACACGGGUAGGUCGGCACCCCAGAAUGGCCGUACC
rnacentral:lncRNA from 1 species